rnacentral:rRNA from 1 species
UACAGAGGUGUCAAACGUUGUCCGGAAUUACUGGGCGUAAAGCGCGCGUAGGCGGCUUUUCAAGUCGAUUGUGAAAUCCCCGGGCUUAACCUGGGAACUGCAGUCGAGACUGUCUAGCUAGAGUAUGGGAGAGGGAAGUGGAAUUUCAGGUGUAGCGGUGAAAUGCGUAGAUAUCUGAAGGAACAUCAGUGGCGAAAGCGACUUCCUGGACCAAUACUGACGCUCAUGUGCGAAAGCGUGGGGAGCAAACAGG